rnacentral:rRNA from 1 species
GACAGAGGUGGCAAGCGUUGUUCGGAUUUAUUAGGUGUAAAGGGCAGGUAGGUGGCUAUGUAAGUCUGGUGUGAAAGCCCAGGGCUCAACCCUGGAACUGCAUUGGAAACUACAUGGCUUGAAUAUCGGAGAGGUGAGGGGAAUUCUCGGUGUAAGGGUGAAAUCUGUAGAGAUCCGGAAGAACACCGGAGGCGAAGGCGGCUUGCUGGUCCGGUACUGACGCUGAGGUGCGAAAGCGUGGGGAGCAAACAGG